AUAAAAAGCAGCGCUCUUGAAAAACAAAAAGCCGAGUGGGUGUCACUGUGCUCCCUUCUCCUAUCUGGCUCUCUGGCGGGUCAGGCUCUUUCUCUUGAAGAGCAUUUCACGACCCAGUCUUGGCCGUUGUACCCAAGGAGGCAAGGAAUGCAGAACUACUAACAGGACCAUUUAUCACGAUUAUGAGCGUCCCAGGAGACAGGAAAUGCCUCUUGCAAAAUGGCCUGCCCUCACGCCCUGGCACUGUGCCAAGCAACUCACUUUCACUUGGAUAAUACAAGCCUUACGUCUGACUUUCACAGAAGAACGUGAACACUGUGCUUGAAAAUGAAAAUUUGGGGCCUAGUGUCAAAUACUCAGCCAGCCACCUUCCAAUGAAUCCACCUGGCCCAGAGGCGGGUGCGGAAUCGCCUUGCUCCUUGGUCAGCAUCUGCAGGAGGGGCGCACGUGUCAACGGGCCCAGAGCGGGACCAGCGCCCGUGGGCGGUGCCAGGCACACUCAGGGUCAGCCGUCCCCACUCAGGAUGGCAGCGACCUGGGUGGGACAGUAAGAGACAACGCGGGUUCCUGAGGGCUCACGAGGACCCGGACACCACCCUGCCUGUUUCUAACACACACGCUCUCCAGUCCUUACAAUAACCCCACAAAGGGGCCCUCCUGCAGCUGGGGAUGGAGGUUGAGUCCAGAGGGCAGAGCUGGGACCCUGCCCCCAACCAGGCGGUUAAAAAGUAAGAAGCGGAAACGCCAGGGAGGGUCCAGACGACAGCCUCCGCUCUCCCGGCUGGAAGCCACUCUCCCAGUGACCGCCCCCCACCCCCACCGCUAAGCCCUGCAGGAAGGCCAAAGCGAAGGGCCCCUUUGCUUGGAUGGCCAGGAGUCUCUUUAAAAAGAAGGGUACCGUCCUCUCAAAGAGGCCGCUCGCGGCCCCGCCCGCUCCCCCCAGCAUGGCUGGUCAGCUGCCAGAGCCGAGCUGCCCCGGACAGCUAACGAGUCCUGCCGCGGGGCUGCGGCCCGCGGAAACUUCCACUUCUCUUCCCGCGCGCUGCUUCACCAGCGAGGCGGCGCCUCUCCCCGCAGCCCCGCAGCAUCAGCCAGCAUCUGACCUGCCCAGGAGCAGGAACACCCACCAGGACGGCUUUCCUCUCUCCUCCAUGAGCGGACCUCAGCCACCCACGAAGGUGGUCCAGCAGGGUGGACCCGCUCGCCUGCAAACGUCAGGGAGCAGGAAACGGAGGAGUCUUCGCUCCCAGGCAAGCACAUUGUACUGAAACGACGAGGGAGAAAAUUUCUCCCCCAAGACCACUGGCAUUCGUCACCGUCAGCGCUUGCACAGAAGAGCUUCACGACGCAGCGGUCACCACCCCAACGUCUACAGGACGUGUCACCACGGAGUCAAAACCAGAGAUGAGCGAGCAGGCUCAACGAAGCGACUAACUUGCUCUCAAGUCUCCUGCUGAAAAACAAAAACUCUGGCUUUUAAACAGCAGAAGGUGG
rnacentral:lncRNA from 1 species